AGUGAACGCUGGCGGUAGGCCUAACACAUGCAAGUCGAGCGGCAGCACAGUAAGAGCUUGCUCUUACGGGUGGCGAGUGGCGGACGGGUGAGGAAUACAUCGGAAUCUACUUUUUCGUGGGGGAUAACGUAGGGAAACUUACGCUAAUACCGCAUACGACCUACGGGUGAAAGCAGUGGAUCUUCGGACCUUGCGCGAUUGAAUGAGCCGAUGUCGGAUUAGCUAGUUGGCGGGGUAAAGGCCCACCAAGGCGACGAUCCGUAGCUGGUCUGAGAGGAUGAUCAGCCACACUGGAACUGAGACACGGUCCAGACUCCUACGGGAGGCAGCAGUGGGGAAUAUUGGACAAUGGGCGAAAGCCUGAUCCAGCCAUGCCGCGUGGGUGAAGAAGGCCUUCGGGUUGUAAAGCCCUUUUGUUGGGAAAGAAAAGCAGCAGGUUAAUACCCCGCUGUUCUGACGGUACCCAAAGAAUAAGCACCGGCUAACUUCGUG
rnacentral:rRNA from 1 species